rnacentral:lncRNA from 1 species
CAAAACCAGUCCUCCACAGCGUUUUUUGGUGGAUUUCUUUUGAAUCUAGAAUUCUGUAGCUAACGCUUUCCUGAGACUUAGUCAAAAGCUUCACUCGGAAAAUCUAUGACCGUAGGGUUGGUCCGUACCACCUCCGAGCGCGGGGCCAAUGGUCGCGUCCACAAAGGGGGAAAGGUUCCGCGCCAAAGCCAAGAGGGAGACUCCGAGGGCCAGUAGCGCCGCGGGCUGUCGGCCACGUGAUUCCGCGCUGUUUAAAAAAGCGGACCUCGCGCGCACUGUGCUAGCCUUGGAACACAUGGAAUGCUGGUGAUUCUUGGAAUUCUGUGUGCGGAGUCACUGCUGCCCCUUUGUUAUCGCUCUCCAUAGGAACGUUUACAAUCUUAGCACGCCCCAAGCUGGUUACGAAUUGCCCACUCGGAGGACAACCCCGAAGGGAUUUGUCAAUGCUCGAAAAUUUGUUUUAAUAAUGUGAUGAUUAAUUCCGUCGGGAACUGUUUCUGUUCUACCAUCUGCUAUAAAUCUAGGCAGAUCUGUACAAUUGCAACAAAGAUUUAGGAUCUUGCUCUGUCACCCAGGGUGGAGCUGGAGCAUAGUGGCUCGGUCAUGGUUCACUGCAGCCUCAAACUCCUGGGUUCAAGCCAUCCUCCCACCUCAGCCUACAGGCUGUGGCCACCAAGCCCAGCUUUUUUUUGUUUUUGUAGAGACCAGGUCUCCUUAUGUUGCCCAGGCUGGUCUCUAACUUCUGGCCUCAAGCGAUCCUCCCACCUCUGCCUCCCUAAAUGCUGGGAUUACAGGAAUGAGCCACUGCACUCAAUCUAAACAUUUUACUUCUAGAUUUUAGUUGUAUUAUUUAAAGCUUAGGACAGGUAUGGUGGUUCACGCCUGUAAUCCCAGCACUUUGGGAGGCCCAGGUGGGUGGAUCACUUGAGGUCAGGAGUUUCAGAACAGUCUGGCCAACGUGGCAGAUAGGAUUAUCUUAUACAUCCUGUUUGUAAUUCUAAAUAUGAUGGAGUUUUAUCAUCUUCAUUUUAUAGACUAGGAAGUGGAGGCUCAGCAUGGCAAAACUCCGUCUCUACUAAAAAUACAAAAAUUAGCUGGGCGUGGUGCAGACGCCUGUAAUCUCAGCUACUCAGGAAGCUGAGGCAGGAGAAUCACUUGAACCCAGGAGGCAGAGGUUGCAGUGAGCCGAGACUGACACUGCACUCCAGCCUGGGUGAUGGAGCGAGACUCUGUCUCAAAAAAAAAAAUUCUAAGCCUCCACUUCCUAGUCUAUAAAAUGAAGAUGAUAAAACUCCAUCAUAUUUAGAAUUACAAACAGGAUGUAUAAGAUAAUCCUAUCUACCUAAAAUUGUUUAUACAUAUGUAGGCAAAAUAUGAAAAGAUGGUGACUAAAACAUUUGAAUGGCUUUCACAGUGAUGGGAGUUUUACUUUCUUCCUUAGGCUUUUCCAUAUUAAAUGAAGCUUAUACAAUUAGCUUAUAUAAUUUAUAUAGGCAGAAAAAAAGAUCAGCGAAAAACCUAAAAUAAUCAAAAGGUGAUUUUGAGAAUGUAAUGCUUUUAUUUAUAUUUAUGUAUUUAUUGUCUAUCUCUGCACGAAUAUAAAUCCAAGAGAGAAGGGACUUCAUUUUGUUCCUGCUGUUACUUAGUAACUAAUUCACAGAAAGUACUCAGUAUAUAUUUAUGAGUGAAAAAUGCACAGAAGCAAAGUACUUACCACCGUGCAGGGCUUACAUAUGCCAGCUACUGGUGUUUAAAAGCUCCCUAUGUCCCCAUUCCACCCACCUUUCAUCCCCCUUAGGAGCAUCAUUCUCUUCUGGUAAGUACGUAGGAGUCGAACAUAUUGAUCUCCUUUAGCCAGGAUAAAUAGUUAUUCAAACCUAUGAACUAUCUGGAAGCAAAGGGACAUUCCUGAAAGAAAUUGCCACCAUAAAGCAGAAUGCCAGCCGCACAGUGCCUACUAGCUCAUAGCUAAACAACGGAGAACUGCAGCCUUGAAACAGUGCCCCAAAGAGUUAAAGAAGUCUGUGACUAACAAAUUCUUGAGUUUGCAGGAUAGCAGAUGAGAAAAGAAACAACUUGCUGAAACUCCCUCCACUUGUAAUAUUAAAAAACUGACUGAAAUUGCUUGCA